rnacentral:rRNA from 1 species
CGGCGGACGGGUGAGUAAUGUAUGGGGAUCUGCCUGAUGGCGGGGGAUAACUACUGGAAACGGUAGCUAAUACCGCAUAAUGUCUACGGACCAAAGCGGGGGACCUCCGGGCCUCGCGCCAUCAGAUGAACCCAUAUGGGAUUAGCUUGUAGGUAAGGUAACGGCUUACCUAGGCGACGAUCCCUAGCUGGUCUGGGAGGAUGAUCAGCCACACUGGGACUGAGACACGGCCCAG